rnacentral:lncRNA from 1 species
GCGUUAUCCUUAACAACGUUAUCCCAAGAAGAUAACACUUAUAUCCCCAGCAGUGUUGAGAGAAAAUAAAUUCUGAAAAAAAAUAAAAUAAAAAUAAAAUAAAAAAAAAAUUGAAUUUGAAGGAGGGGAAGAAAGGAGACUCCCACGGUGGUAUUAUCCCCAGCAAGCAAGAAAAAAGCAGAGUGAAGGAAGGAGAAAAGAAAAGAAGAAAUUACGAAGGUAAGUUUCUCAAUUUAUUGAUCUUUACAUUUUCCCCUUAGGAUAAAAGUCCUAAUCUGAUGAAUUUCUUUCCCGAUACAAUCUUGGUCCGAUGAAAUUUUUCUCCCAAGAUAAGAUAUCAAAUCUUAGUCCGAUGAAAUUUUCUCCUAAGAUAUCAAAUCUUAGUCCGAUGAAUUUUCUCCUAAGAUAGAAAUCUUGGUCUGAUGAAAUUUUUCUCCCAAGAUAAUAAUAAAAUCUUAGUCGGAUGAAUCUUUCUCCUAAGAUCACAACAAAAUGGACUUAGUCUGACGAUUUAUCUCCUAGAGUCAAAAUCUUGGUCUGAUGAAAUUUUUCUCCCAAGAUAAUAUAAUAAAAUCUUAGUCGGAUGAAUCUUUCUCCUAAGAUCACAACAAAAUGGACCUAGUCUGACGAUUUAUCUCCUAGAGUCAAAAUCUUGGUCUGAUGUAAAUUUU